GAUGAACUCUGUAACCAUAAUAUACCAGAAGUAUUUCUGUGCCAUUGCUGGGAAUUAUAUUUCUAGUAAUGUCAUUAAGAAAUACCAACAACAACCACAUCACAAUUAUGUUAAUAAAUAGGAAACAAAUAUAAAUUUUACAUUGGUCUUAUGACCAGAUUUUACAAUUUCUUUCCACACAGGGCCAAACAAAGAUAAGCAGCGGAAAAAGAAUCGAGAGGCACCAAUGAGACAAUCGACUGUGGCACGCAACCUAUUCGACAUCCUCAGCAACAGAACUUCUGGAAACAACUGACCUUCUCUGAAAUUUUGUGAGACAACAAGGGUAAGUACAUAAAGUACUCCCAAGUGUACGGGAAUAUGCAAUAUAUGAUACAUGGCUUCAAAGGAAGGUUAGGGUUCAUUUGCAUAAAGGCAUUUGAGAACUUAAAUACAAUAAAUGGAUACAAAUUUAAUUUAAACAACAUUUGCAAUCACGGUAUUUUUAACCAACCAACCAACCCAAAAAGGAUAUUGCGUCCACACAGGACCACACAGCUAUAUUCAUUAAUUUAUCCUGCACACAGCUCUUUCCCAAAAGUAAAACUUUCACAAAUCUACCCCUCAUGUGAAAUCACCGAGCAUGUCCAUAACCGAGGACGCGGCUAUUCGAAUAGAUUAACACUCUGCAGAGGUUGUACAACUUUACCCACGAGAUACAGUUCGGUGCCGCUAAACACCAAAGAGUAACAAAGCGUUUCCUCUACCUCACCCUAACACCGGCUUCCCCAUGGGCGGUCCUCCCAUCACCACACAGGUGAAAGGUCCCAUGUACAAUCCAAAAACCUAUCAUCUAGCCACCUGGGCCGUCGGUGCCAAAGCUAAGUAGUGUACUAAGCUAGGUCCUUCCCAUGAGGACAUGUGGUUGCACGGUAAGACUCAGAUCAAUGGCGCACGAAGUGAAGUCCUUAUCUGACCAGGGCGACUUGCCUAAACUAAGGACCUCAAGCACACAGCAAAAAUGGAGCACAUAGCUCAAUCGACCACAUAGGUCAACAGUAAGCACGCAUACAGAUGGCUUACCUCCUAGGUUCACACAGAUCCACCAUCGCCCUGGUCUAAAACAUUUUCCACCAGAUCAUUACUACACGGUGCAACACAUGCCACCAAGAAGAUAGCACACAACCACACAGUUUAUAUAAAAAAACAGUGAUAAGUAGAUCAUUAGUCAAUAUUAUAUUUUGCCUUGUAAAAGUGUGAGCAGGGCUAAGCAAAUCUACUACCCUGAGCCAAUACCCCAUGUUUGACUCUCAUACAGUCUAGGUGACAAAUAAUCAAGGAUAAUCAACAAUAAUUCAAGGCAUGGAAUAAUUAACAAGUAGGUUAUAACUACCCACACAAUAAUUUGUAAAACAAAACAAUGCAUAUAAUUUAAAACAAGAUAAUUUUUAAAGUUGGGAUCAACAUGUUCAAGGGUACACUUGCUUUUACCCACGGGAUCUUCAGGAUCUUCAGACUGAACCUUCACCUGCAACAGCAACCUCCUCAGCAACAACGUCUACACGAUCGCAAAAAGGAGAAAACAAAUAAACAAAAAGAAAAGGCAGCAAAAUAACAACAAAUGAAAUAACCAAUUAAAUCAGGAGGUAGAGCUCAAUUUUAGAAGAAUUUAGGAAAAAGAAUGGGCCGAAUCGGAGUUUGGAUGAAAGAGAUGUGACCUCCGGAAGAUUGAAUUAUUGGAAAACCAUGAAUAAAGAAAGAGAAAUAUUUAGAAAAUAUUCUCUGGAAUUUCUGAACCUAAAGGAUUAUAUUUGACGGACUGGCGGGCAUGGUCCACUUGCCGGUAGGAUGACCUACGGUUAAUUGGUUACAAGGAGGAGAGUUGUGGACCAAUUACGUGGAUGGCUGAGAUCUAUUUGUUGAGAUAGAUGACUUGAUUGGUUUUGGGUUUUAGGAUGCUAGCCUGACCAAGACGCAUGUGACGUGGUGCCACACAAAAUGGAUCUCAUGAACGUGACAACAAUGAAGCACCGGAUUGAAGUAGGGUGAAUCAAAAGCACAGCAGGCUAGAAGACGACGUCGGGUUCAUGAAAGAUAGCAGCAGCGGUGGUGAAGGCUAUGGAGUUGAAGCGCAGCGGCAAGGCGAUGGCAUGGUGGAGCUCGACCUCUUGGUGGCAGGGAGACAUGGAGUAGUAGGGGAAAGACGAGUAGUGGCAGCCACAUGGCAUGGACUACUCCAGUGUAGAAAACAGGGAUGUCGGUGCAGUGAUUUAGGAAUGGAACCGUGAUGACCACAGCAGACAAGUGGUAGGAACGGCGGAUCGUUAACGGUGAGGUGGUUUCACCGGCAGACAAUAGCAACUUGACAAGAGACCGUGCUGGAGGCAGGGAAGACAAUGGAAGAGGAGGAUAAGAGCAGUGGUGCUGCUAGAGCCUUGAAGCUUACCAACCGCAGUGGCAUUCAUAGGAACGUGAUGGCGAUGGAGACCAUGACAACACUAUGCUCCAGCAAUGACUAGGGAGGAGAAGACAGCAACAACGACUCGAAGUCUCAGGUUCAGUGGCAGCAAAUAAAACAGCAGCAGUGCUGGUGUUCGUUCACCCGAGACAGUGGUGAUGUAGACGACGGUGUAGCAUCACGGCAGCAAGACGAGGUGUCUGGGCGUGCACGAAUAAAAAAAAAGAAAGAAGAGGGGCAGUGCUGCUGGUCAAGGAAGUCAGAGUAGAGAGCAUCUCAGCAUGCACAAACAAAAGAAAAGGAUGACAGUGGCGCUGGUAUAUAUAAAGAGGAGGAAAUGGGAGAUGAACAGCCAGUCGGGAGAUGGAGAGAUGGUGAAAACAGAGCUAACCGAUGAAUGGUGAUGGUGAUUUAGUUUUUGAUAUUCAAUGAAGCAGAAUGUGGUUGAGGUGAAAGUGCUUACCAACCAUGUCAGAGUUGUGGCAGCAAGAUGCUCGUGCGACAAUAAUGGCAGAAACUCACGAGACGUCGUUGCAGCAGCUGAUCUGAUCCACUGCAUUGCUCGACCUCCCAAGUAUUAUGGCAGCGCUAAAAACAGGACGGUGAUAGAGGUUAUGGAAGAAGAGUGAGCAUGAUGAUGUAAAGCUCGACAUCCCGGCGAUGAUAGCUUUGAUUUGCUGGUUGGUCAGGUUUCUUGGGCGCAGCAGUGUGGAGCAGAGAGGCGAUGAUCCCAGCGUGCAUGAGCAACAGAAAAAUAUGGCAGUGACCUUGGUAGAAUUUUUUUGAGAAUUAAUAUUAUUUUUAUGGAAAAUCGCAAAAGUAGUGGCCAACCGGGAAAAAUCGCGAAAGUAGGUCCCUGUCGAACGGGUGCAAUUCGAUAGGGCACCUAUCGAACGACGGGCAGUCGACAAAGCCCUGUCGAAUGGCUGGCGUUCGACACGCUCACCUGUCGAACGGAGGGAGUUCGACAGGGCCCACCACCCGGCGCCGCGAGGCCUGUCGAACCGGGGGCGUUCGACAGGGCCCUCCACCGACCCUGUCGAACAAUGGGCGUUUGACAGGCCGGUUUAAAGCCCCAUCCACCCAGGCCGCGAGUUCGAUUUGUUUUGAGGACCACAUCGCCAGCCGCCGCCGAGAGUCGCCACUUCGUCGUCGUGAGCGCCGGAGGGAGCGAGGGGAGGGGAUAGCAGGCCAGAGAGGAGGCCGAGGAGGCGCCGGCCGGGAGGAAAGGGUUGGCGACACCCUCCAGCAGUGAAGUUAAGGUAUACAUUAGUAAUCCCUAAGUACAAUGCAUAUGAAAGUUUAAUAAAAAAUUGGUUUAAGAGUUGUUGAUUGUUUCGCAUUGUUCGAUGUUAGUAUGUAUGGUUAGCACAUAUUUGUUAUUGCUAAAUGUUGGUAGAGGUAUUUAAGUAAUUGUACGGUUAAAUUAGUUCUUAGUUAGUACAUAUUAUUGAUAUGUUGUGUGUUAAAAUAGGUACAAAGGUGUUAUAUUUUAUUUGGAUUAUUAAACUAGUUGUUUGUUACUAAUAGUUGUAAAUUAGUACACGGCAAUAUAGUAUAAGUUGUAAUAGGGUAAUUAUCGAAUGAUUAAAUGAUUAAACGUGAGACUAUUUGUCAUGUUUUAUCAGGAUGUCAGGUGAUAUGCCCAUUCGUCUGUAUUAUGGCGAUGCUCCUAUACAAAUAUGUGAUAGUGGGGUGGAUUUGACUGUAUAUGUCUUCCAUGAUACUAGUCUGAAUGCACCGGAGCAUAUGGGUUUGAACGACGUGUUAGGGUGGUUGUAUAAUAUGUUUGGGGUAGAUCCAGUGCACGAUAAAUUUGUCAUAAAUGCCGUGUGGCCAGUGAGGGGUCAACAUGGAUGGCAGUGGAGAGUAGUGGAGGUUGCGUCAACUGGGAGUUGGAGGAAGUUUGUUAGUAAAAUAAGGGAGAAAGGCUAUAGCCUGGCAAUAGUGGUGCAGAAGACAACAUGUGUUGAUCGAUCGGGGGAGUCAAGUCAUGCCGUGGUGGAAGAAACUCCGUUGGAAGGUGGACAAGCUGAAAAUGUUUGGCGGACUGAGCAAGAUCGAGGGGAAGAAGUAGUAGAGGGUAAUACACAAGGAGAGGUCAUUGUUCGUGGUACUAAUUGUGAGGCCAACGACUCGGACGAUGAAGAACCGGAUUCGCCUAUGCGUGUUGAUGCAGCGGAGGAGAAUGAGGCGGUAGUGGAUCAGAUGGAAGUGGAAAACGAGGAAUACCUUGCGCUUGUAGUGGAAGGAGAAGAUACAACACUGUGGGACAACGAAACUAACAUACCCGAUGAUUGGACGACCAUAUCAAUGAGUCGUAUGAAGGUAAACGAUGGUUUAGAUGCCCACUGGUGUUAUGAUAGUAAGCAGGUGAAAGUUGGACAGAUGUUUCAUGACAAAGGUCACUUACAAGAUGCGGUGAAGAGGUGGGCAUUUGUCCAGAAGCGUGAGUUCAGGGUGAAGGUUUCAAAUAGGACGACGUAUGACGUGAAGUGCAUACAGGGUGGAUGUCCUUGGAGAGUGCAUGGUUACAAGCCACAACAUGAUACUUUAUGGGUAGCUUUGAGGGUUGAGCAACAUACGUGUUUGUUGGAGAAUACCCGUCUGGUGCACAGAAACCUGACAGCGGCAUUUGUGGCACAAAUGGUAUAUUCAAAGGUGGUUAGAAAAACAUCUUUGUCCCCUUUCACCAUAAUGCAUGACGUUGAGAAAGAGUACGGAUAUGAGAUAUCGUACGACAAGGCUUGGAGGGCAAAACAGAAAGCAUUGGAGAUGAGGUUUGGAACUUAUGAGGAUUCUUAUCACAAUCUUCCCCCACUAUUGGAGGUGAUGCAGGCAAGAAAUCCGGGCACACACAUGGCUAUUCUCGAUGAGGUGAAUGAAUAUGGGGAGAAUGUUCUUCGUCGGGCUUUCUGGUCAUUUGGAUGCAUGAUAGAGGCCUUUAGAAAUUGCAUUCCUUUGCUCUGUGUUGAUGGCACUUUCAUGACAGGCAAGUACAGAGGAACAAUUCUAACCGCGAUCGGAGUCGACGCGGAUAGCCAUGUCGUUCCUGUUGCUUUUGCAUUUGUUGAAAGCGAGAACACAUCAAGCUGGCUAUGGUUUUUGCGGCACAUUAAAAUGUGUGUUGUUGAAAAUAGACGAAAUGUGUGUGUUCUACAUGACCAACACGCCGGUUUGCUAUCAGCGAUACAGAAGCUUCAAGAAGAUGUCACACAGUCCGUGCCAUGGCCAGAUUUACAUAGCAGAUGGUGCAUGCGACAUUUUGGGGCUAAUUUUUAUAGACAAUUCAGGAGUAAGAGAUUGAUGGACCUAUUCAAGAAGUUAUGCAAGCAGAAUCAACAAAGAAAGUUUGAUGCCAUAUGGGAUCAACUGGAUCGUUUGACCACUACACACAUGGAAGUGGUUAGGAAAAAACCUAUAGUUGCCAGACAGGAGGAGCCGGAGGGACUUGAACCCAUUCCUAAUGAAGCACCAAGUAUUACUCGGCGCAGGAAGCGUGGAAGGGCCACGAAGUGCUUCACGGAGUGGGUAGAAUUUGAGCCAAGGGAGAAAUGGUCAUUGUUGUACGAUACAGAUGGAUCGAGGUAUGGUGUGAUGACAACAAAUCUUGCUGAAGUGUAUAACUGGGUUAUGAAGAAUACACGACCUCUACCACUUGUUGCUAUCCUGGAGGGCAUCACGAGGGGUACACAGAAGUAUCUCUGUAAAAGGUAUUCCAUGGCUAGUCUGAACCUUAGCAAACCCAGUGUUAAGUAUAGCCCCGCUAUUACACAGUACAUGGAUGAGAAAAGUAAGAAGGGAGGAAUCCACAGAGUGUGGCCUGCUGGGAAUAGAGAGUUGUUAUUUGAGAUACGACUUCGUGACAAGAGUGGUGUCGGCAUUGGGACUACUGACAUCACAUUGGAAUGCAUGUUGUGGCCAGAGUAUCACGCUUGCAAAUGCAAUUGCAACAAGCCUUACCUGUUACAUCGGCCAUGUUCCCAUGUUCUUGCUGUUUCCGCAAAAGGGGGUGUUGAUGGAAACAUUUUUGUUUCUCCCUACUUUAGAAAGGAAUCAUGGGAGGCAACUUAGCGUGGUGAAUUGCGUGGUUGGCGUGCCAUGUGCGAUUUCACUCGUCCUCCUCCAGGGCAAGCCAAUUGGGUUCCUGACUCAAAUUUAUUAGUUGAUACUAAGGGUCGUCGCCAGUCGCGCAGGAUCAAGAACCUUAUGGAUGAAGCUGAAGUGAAAGAUCGUUCUCGUCGUAAGAAAGCUUGUAUUCUUUGCGGGGAGAACCAUUCCCGUAAAGAUUGCAGCAUGUACAAUGUAGGGCAAGAUGCCACAGGCGCUGAUGUUCGUCGCGUUCCAAAGGGGAAGUCGAAGAAGAAAAAUAAUCCUUAGUUCGCUAUUAUCCUUGGUGGACUCCCUACUUUGAAGAUCGUUAUCGUUCAAUUUAUGUUUAGUGCGUCUGUAAUUUUAAUUUGAACUUUCUUGCACUUUUAUUACCCGAAUCUAUUUGUAAUGGCCUUGUAAUUUUCAUUUUGAACUGCACUGCACUUUUAAUAUCGUCAUGUAUUUGUAUUGGAAUUGUAAUUUAAAUUUCGAACUGCACUGCACUUGUAAUAUCAUAAUAUAUGUGUCGUGGGCUUGUAAUUUUAAAUUGAAAUGUACUGAACUAUUCUUAUCUGUAUCUAUGUGUGCUGGUACUGUAAUUUUAAAUUGAAAUGGCAUGCAAAUUUGUUACUUGAAUUAUGUUGCAUACAUUUACUGUACUGUUACCACACGUGCAUUUACUAAUGUAGUUUUCGAUCUGCAGGUAUGGCUGAUCAAUAUGAUGGGCAGCUGAUAGACAAGGAGAUCGAUAGGAACCAUCGAUCGCGACGUCUUAGUACAGGAACUUUCUGCAAUGUGCUAAAGAUGCGAGGACCGGAUCAAUAUUGGCGUAUUGAUCCUCCUCGUUGGGUUCCAAGGUGUGUGAAAAUAUAUUGUUUUUACUAAUACAAGGUGUUUAUAUUUUCAUGUAUUAAUAACUUGCGCUCUGUCAUGUUGUAGGCUGAGAGCAGCUGGGUUGUUGACGUUUGCACGGUUGGUCGAGCCUUCACGUGCAAGGUCCGAACGAAUCCACAUUGACGCGGCGCUUCUGAGUGCUCUUGUGGAUAGAUGGAGGCCUGAGACCCACACUUUCCACCUCACAGUUGGAGAGAUGGUGCCCACUCUGCAGGAUGUGUCUUAUUUGUUGGGGCUGCCGAUAGCUGGGCCAGCAGUUGGCCCAACAAUGGUGAAUGCUGGAUGGGCGGAUGACCUUCUGGCCAGUUUUGGUGGUGUGCUACCUGUUGCACUGGAGGAUCUCACAGAUGGGCACGGGCCUACGAAAAGUUGGUUGAAUCAGUUUCGAUAGGAUGUCUUCCCUGAUGACCAGGAGGAGUGGAUCGUGCAGCGGCACUUAGUCGCUUACCUGUUGUGGUUGUUUGGAUGGGUGAUGUUCACGGGAACUCACGCUGACUCCGUGGACAAGCACUUCAUCCACUUUGCGGAGCAGAUUGCAGAGUUACCUAUCGCGGAGAUUCCACAGUACAGUUGGGGGUCGGCGGUACUUGCGGCGACAUAUGCCGGACUGUGUGAUGCUUGCGUGAGGAACAGCAAGCAAAGUUCACUCCCUGGAUGCCCAUUGCUACUUAUGUUGUGGGCGCACGAGCGCUUUGACAUUGGGAGGCCUCAGCUUGACUCGUACGCAAACUACGGUUUGCAAGAGAUGUACAGGUCUGGUGUUGAUGACAUCGACGAUCGUCCCACUAUGGGAUCCUUGUGGACACACCGUGAGGUAUUUUUUGUUAAAUUCGUUUAUGUUAUCAUUAUGAAUACUAGUUCACAAACUUUCCUUAUAUGACUAAUGAAAACUACUACUUGUUACAGCCGCAGUGGGUUAGCGGGACGACACGUCGUGUCUACACUCAGUUUGUAGCUGACUUUGAUCAGCUUACGCCUGACCGUGUUCGGUGGACUCCCUACACUCAGCACGAUGUCAAUGAUCGUGCACCGCACGGUCUCGCGGAUCUUUGCACGCGAGAUAUGCAACUCUGGAUGACGACUUGUCACCUCGUGGUGGACGUGCACGUCGAGCCACACAAUGUCCACAGGGUUCUCAAACAGUUGGGCAUGUAUCAGGACUUCCCUCCGAGAGAUGGUCGUCCUUUGGCUGAUAGUCUUCAUAGGUUAGUUCACAUCACAGUUGUUUAAUCCUACAUUUUUUAAAAUAAAUCACUGCACAACAUUUUUUCUGAUGUGUGAAUUUGUUGUUGUGCAGGUACUCCAGAAAGGGGCUCGGGCUUUCCUACGAGCUAGUUAUUGUGACCACGGUUCAGCCGACGGUACAAGAGUGGGAGCACGCAGCUAAUAACUUGGCACUUCAGACACCUCCAGACGAUGGGAGUUAUUAUGGAGCUUACCUUCGUUGGUACCGCAGUGUUACACAAUGGAGGUGUUUUCCUCCACAAGGAGAUAGCACCAUCCCCCACCAGGCAGCGAUUACUGACACGUUUGCCCCUCAGCCUAGAUCAGCUUACAACUCAAUGGUACGUGUUUAUUUGUGGAAUUUGAGCAACUAGUUCAAUAUUUUUAAAAAGUUAGCAAGUAGUUCAGUAUGUCUAAUAAAUGUGCAAUUGGUUCAACUAGUUCCUUUUCUUACAUAAAUGUGGAACUAGUUCAGUAUUUAUAAAUGAUGUGCAACUGGUUCAUUAUUUCUAACAAAUGUGCAUCUUGUUAAAUACUCUCAAUAAAUGUGCAACUGGUUAAAUAAUUUUAAUUGCCUUGAUUAUUUAUGGAACAGGCGGAAUUUGUUGAGCACGUUCACGUGGAGUCCGACACCCUGCUGCAAAGACUAGAGGCGAGACCUCCAGUCGUCAGGCCUGACGACGUGGCGAGCAUCCUUCGCAACUUCCGUGCACGUGCUGCCGCACUACUACGUCGUGUCUCCUGUCGGAGCGCGGCAGAUGUGGUGCAGACAUCGGGCCGACGGCCAUCACCACCACUACCCCGACGUUCCAGCGUGGAUCGGAGUGGUCCAUCCUCUUCACGUCGCGGGUACGAAGCGGCCCACACAUCUCACGGUCGUCCUUCCUUUCAGCACACCCCAGCACCGGAGUACACCAGGGGGUCAGCCGGAUCAGGGGUACCCACGUCGAGCACGGCACCACCACGUCCGCAGGUAUUCCAAACUCCGCCUUAUGUUCACCUCUCGCAGGGAGCAUCUGGGUCGGCACACUUCCCUUACAUGCCAACGGGGGACAACGUGUUGAACACACAAGCAUGGGGACUUCAUAUCACUCCGCGUGCGCCAGAGCAAGGCCACACACAGCACACAUGUAAGUCAUUUUAAACAAUAACACGCUUUAGUUUCUAAUUAUAUGUAUCAUUACUAACUACGCCAUAUUUUUUGGUUUCUCCCUCUUGUGCAAACAGACGAUGAGUACGGUUCGGCGUCGACGCAUCACGGAAUGCCUGCUUACUCCCCUCGCACAGCAUUCAUUGAGGACUUCUUUUCCACUGAUCCUCCCCAGGGGGAAGUAGGGAUGGAUUACUGGCACGCAGCACCUCAGGUCACACAGCCGACGCAGGAGACGAAGGCCGGUCAGGGGCCAGACAUGACACCAUAGCAGGCAGCUAGAGAUAGGCACCCCCCUGAUAAUUUGACAUAUCCCACUGAGCAGAUUAGGCGUAGGAAGAAGGGAGGACCUAGCAAGCGUGCGAAGGGCACUGAUCGUCCUUGACUUAUCUAUUUGUAUUAAACUUUUAGUCAUUUAUGUUCUAUCCGUACUAUUUGAGAAACAUUUUACGAUUAACUUAGUACUAUCAGUACUAUUUCAUAAACUUCUUCGGAUAAUUACUUAGUAGCAUAUCCUUCAAAUGAAUCAUGACAAAUUAUCAUUCAAAUAUACAAAAAAUAAUGAAACUAAAUAAUUCAAAUAUUUUAACCAACAAAAAAAUACUACAAUUUCUUACCAAACAUUAUCAAAACCCUAAAUCAUAUACAUAUAACAUUACAAAAAUAUUUUCCUUUCUUACACACUAAAAUAAAUUACAUAUUAUUAAAAAAAUAACUUAUUACAAAUAAAUGGAGAACGCGACCCUGUCGAACUACGCCAGUUCGACGGAUAUCCUGUCGAACAGGGGCAGUUUGACAGCCCUCCUGUCGAACAGGGGCAGUUCGACAGCCCUGCCUGUCGAACGGGGGCUGUUCGACAGGUCCUGUCGAACGGUAGCCUUCCGAUCUCCUCGCCAGUCGCGCUCUGGCCGUUCGAUAGGCGCCCUAUCGAACUGCACCCGUUCGACAGGGACCUACUUUCGCGAUUUUCUCCGGUUGACCACUACUUUUGCGAUUUUCCAUAAAAAUAAUAUUAAUUCUCAAAAAAAUUCACGUUGGUAUAUGCAAAGGAGAUGAACAACCAACCGAGAAUUGGAGGGACAGUGAAAACGGGGCUAACUGAUGAUUAGUGAUUUAAAUUUUGAUCUUGAAUGGAGGAAACAAAACAGUACAUGGAUGGAGUGCAGGGGAUUACCAGCCAUGGCAGAGAAGAUGAAGCAACAAAGCUCCAGCAAAGGAGAAGAUGGCAUCAGUGGCUUGGGCUUCCGAAGUGGAUGGCGAGAGGGCGGCUCUGGUUCCACGACGGCAGCAGCGCCUCUGCGUGCAGGCGACGGCGACCGAACAUGAAGGAGCAACGUGGUUCACCACCGAUGAUGGCAUUUAGUUGGUGGCUGUUUGGAAACAGGACAACGAUGACGUGCUUUGUGAUAUGCAAAUGGAAUCACGAUCACGUGCACGCACAGGACGAUAAAUUGGGAAGAAAAAAAAUGAUGAAGGAGGUGGAUGUAGGGCAGGUGUUUACCGCAAAGGAGAAGUUGCAGCAGCAGCGGGUGGUUGACAGAGAAUCGUCGGCGCUGGUGGACAGCUUGAUAAAAGAUAGCACAGGAGGCGGUGG
rnacentral:lncRNA from 1 species